GGAGCCCAACCAUCCACCUCAGUCCCUGCCAUCUCUCUAGAAGGAAUGGAAUUGACACAGGCUCCACUCCUGAGCAGUCAAUGUGGGAAGUCAGAGACAUGACUGAGCCCUCAGACUUUCUGCGCUGUUGCGGCAGGAAGGCGUCCCCAGACCCCUGAAGAGCUGCACAUUGAACAUCCGUCCGAGGGAAUGACCAAAGGGCUUCUCAAGCAGCCGAGGACUGACAGCAGUGACCUGGGCUCUGCUCAGGAGACUGUCCAUGUGCAAGGGACAGGAAGAGAGCACUGUGACCCUCUGGACACCGAGGGUCCCGUUAUGGGCAUUGGCGGGGCAGCAGGUGUGUGGUCACACUGUGUACCUCCUUUUGUUUCCUGGAGAACACUUUCCAAGUGAAGUUUUCCACACCCAGAAACCUCUUGGCUGCAGAAAUUCAAAGAAUGGGAGUGUUUACUGAGUUCCCUCCCCCGAGACCUGGCCCUCUGGAGAGCCGCCCAGUGUGGCUCCCCAGUUAUUUACAACCUGCUGGGUGCCAAUUCCAGAUCAUUCCCACUCCACUCUCCCGUAGGUGCCCAGCCCUGUCCCCCGGUGUCAUCUUACGAGUAGCAAGUCAUGACAAUUUCAGUCCCACACCAACAACUCCAAGAUUCUCACAGAAGUUUCCCUGACUGCCAAGACUCAGUCAGCACUAUGAAAGGCCAAGACUGGAGGUAGGCCACACCACAGUUUCAGCACCUGCUCACGGUGUGCUGGCACCACAGAGCCACACUAGGGGAGAAGGAAGUCACGGAGCACACCUUAGCCAAGCAGAACACUAAUCACAACUCUCCCAGGCCGAUACAAGGUUGGAGAUGACCUCAACCUGGCCUCUUUCUAACUGGGGUUAAAUUCUGGCUAAGUAUGAAAGAAAAUCCCAAGCCACAGUGAUUUAAGCAUGUGGGGAUUUAUUUUCUCAAAUUAAAGUGGGGCAGUAGGCAGACAGAGCUCCUGUUCCAUGAAGCACUUUUGACUUUCACCUCUAUCAUCCCUGGAGGGCGACCCUGAUCCUCAGGUCUGAAGUGGAUGCCAGAGCUCCAGUCAUCAUACCCAUGUUUCAAGCAGCAGAAAACAUCCCAGAAAUGUCAUACAACACCUUCACUUGGAUCUCACUGAAUAGAAGCUGGUCAUGUGACCAAACUCAACUGUAAUGGAACUCAGGAAUGUAGUCUUUAUUCUGAGAAUGUAGAACUGUCUAUAAGACAACUGACUGAUCUCUGCAGAGGUUACUGUUCUAGAUUAAAGGAAACUUCUGUUGACUCUGGAGCCAAUGCGAGUGAUGGUGGAAUCCUCAGGGUCCUAGCCAGGUGCAUUGCAGAGCUUGGUGUGGGAGAGAAGGCUGCACCAGACCUUGCUUCCCCCAGAGUCCUCCUCCAUCACCUGGGAUGGAGCAAGCAGCCAUAUCCCAUCACCUGUCAGAGAUAACAUCAUGGCAACAGAUAGAAAAAGAAUGAUGGAGGCAUGCCCAGUGGAUCAGCGCACGCCCUCAGAGACUAGGACAAAUGUUACAUUUGAGAUUAGAAGAAUUUGUCCUCCUUCCAUCAUUUCUGCUCAUAUCACCUUGAACCGGCACUUAACUUCAGCUUCUUCAUCUGUGAAAUGGAGAUAAUCACCCGCCUCAUAGGCUGCCUGAGGAUCCUGUGAGAUAGCAUGUGUGAAAACUAGGAGCGGUUGUGUACUGCUGUAAUCCCAGCACUUGGGAGGCAGAGCAACUUUGCUCUUCUAAUGAACAGAAUGAGUGUGGCUUAGCAGCCUCUGACUUCCAAACUGGGUCAUGAAAAGCACCACCUCGCCCUCCUCUGCAGUGACACACUCUGAGAGGAGCUGGAUACCAUGUUAUGAGGACACUAAGCAGCCUGGGGAGAAAUCCACCCCUACUUCCUGUCCAUGGCAAUCACCACCUUCCCCAGUCAGGUGAGAGAACCAUCUUGACAAUGGUUUCUUGAGUCCCAGGUAAGCCUCAGGUGCCUGCAGCUCCAGCCAAUGCCUAGGUUGUCCCCUCAUGAAGUUGAGCCAGAACCACCAAUCACCUUCUUCUGAGCUUCUGGCCCAGGGUCCCUAUGGGGUGACAGGUGAUUGCUGCUUUAGGUUGCUGAGUUUUGGAGGCUCAAUCCCUGCCCUGGUUAGCACUGUGGUUCCUCUAGAAUGUUCCCCACCCCAUGGGGCACUGGCUUUCGUCGCUAGUCCCCAUUCUACCACCUUUCUUCAAGAAGACCAGAGCCCCAGACAAGUUUCUGUGAACACUCUUCUUAAGGUACAUAGUACGAAGUCUGCCUGUUGAAAGGAAAUGAAGUCUUGAAUGAAAAGAAACUAAUGACACUUUUCAGAAGCUCCAAGAGGUCCUCUGCCUUCACCAGCAGGAGACAGUUGGGCCUGGCACUCCAGCUCUCUUGAUCCCUAAUUUAUGGCUUUAAUCCCUCAAAGCCCUAGUUGUUUUCUGGAAAUACAGGAAUACCUCCCUCUCUUCUAGGACUUUUGUGAUGAUUUGGAAUAUUGAGAAUGACAACUAACAUUUAUUAGGAGUUGGGGAUGUGCUAAGCACUAAGUAUGUCACAUUUAAUCCCCACAGCAACCCUUUGCAGUGGGUACUGCCGUUAUCCAUUUUGUACACGUUGAGAAACUGAGGCACACAAAAUGCACUUGAUUGCCCACAACUAGUAAGAGCAUGAUGUGCCUGGCACUUAGUGUGCAUACUUUUCAGAGUCACUGCUAGGAUUUCAUUUGUCCUUCAAGCCAGUUUUUACAGAGGAGAAAAGAGGCCCUCAGUGAAGUCAGGCAAAUUUUCUCUGACUGACUCUAAAGUCCCCACUCGUCCCCUCCAUCAGCAGUGAGUCUCCCAUCCAUAGCCCAUCCGGAGCCCUCCUGCUCACUGCUGGCUGUUCUCACACACCCCUUUGUCUGCCUGCUGGGGAUCCUGGGUCUUGAGAGUCACCAGUCACUGCCAUGGGUUGGUGUGGACCUAGACUGGAAGCCCAGAUUCAUACCUGACGCCAAAGCCGGUUUCAAUGGACUGGCCCAAUAUCAGCUCACAAUAAACAAGCAGAUUUCUGCCAUC